UGCAGAUGUAGACCGUGUCUGGCUGCGUACAGAUGUCUGAGCCUGACUGCUUCUCCCCAGUCAUUUGCCAAAUGUGGACCAGAGUCAGGCAACGGAACGCUCUCCACGCCGAUGCUACUUCCACAAACAGUGACAAAGAAUUUCAAAAGCACAGAUCUCUGUUCUUGCAAGUAGCCGCUCUUCAUGUAAAACACUGGUUGUUACAAUGAUGACACUUGAGGCAGUUAAGGAGAAAGGGAUGGUCCCAAGAGGGAGUCCCUUUUUGCUGGACCGCGGACAGACUUCAAUACCAAUGCGAUCACUUUCACGGUUGCGGUGAAUAUAUCUGCAGACAUUGCCAU